GACGGAGGAUGCAAGCGUUAUCCGGAAUUAUUGGGCGUAAAGCGUCCGCAGGUGGACAUACAAGUCUGCUGUCAAAGUGCAGAGCUUAACUCUGUAAAGGCGGUGGAAACUGUAGGUCUUGAGUAUGGUAGGGGUAGAGGGAAUUCCCGGUGUAGCGGUGAAAUGCGUAGAUAUCGGGAAGAACACCAGUGGCGAAAGCGCUCUACUGGGCCAUAACUGACACUGAGGGACGAAAGCUAGGGGAGCAAACAGG
rnacentral:rRNA from 1 species